rnacentral:Y_RNA from 1 species
AGGGCGGAUGCCUGCAGAACUACAUCGACUGUUAAUCGCCAGGUUGCGGGUUCAAAUCCCGCCGCCGCAGCCAUUUGAUGCGGCGUAGCUCAAUGGUAGAGCAGGAACGUUUUGCACCCACCUUGCCGCCCUGGC